rnacentral:rRNA from 1 species
UACAGAGGGGGCAAGCGUUAUUCGGAAUUAUUGGGCGUAAAGGGCGCGUAGGCGGCAUGGCAAGUGGAUGGUGAAAUCCCUCGGCUUAACCGAGGAACUGCCGUCCAAACUGCUUCGCUUGAGACCGGGAGAGGUGAGUGGAAUUCCCAGUGUAGCGGUGAAAUGCGUAGAUAUUGGGAGGAACACCAGUGGCGAAGGCGGCUCACUGGACCGGUACUGACGCUGAGGCGCGAAAGCGUGGGAGCAAACGGG